rnacentral:lncRNA from 1 species
AGGUAUUAAGAAUCUACUCUGGGGGCUGGCCUGGUGGUGCAGUGGUUAAGUGCACACAUUCCGCUUCGGCGGCCCGGGGUUUGCUGGUUUGGAUCCCAGGUGCGGACAUGGCACCACUUGGCAAGCCAUGCUGUGAAGUUGGUCCACAGUCACAGUAAGUGAAGAUCCAAGCUCCUCUUAGUUACAGCCCUGUGUAACCUGAGCCCUGACCACCGGUCCAGCCUCGCCUCCAGCUCCUCCUCCUUUGUUUUCAGCAUUCUCAAGGCGUCUCUUUAGCAAUUAAAAAUGGCAGCCCCUGGAGUGGAAAGUUAAUGGGGGAAAAAGAAAAAUGUCUGGAGUGAUCAUUAAAAUUUCAGUGAUACUUUGGGCUGAA